UACGGAGGGGGCGAGCGUUAUUCGGAAUUAUUGGGCGUAAAGGGCGCGUAGGCGGCUGUACAAGUCAAAGGUGAAAGCCCCCGGCUCAACUGGGGAGGGUCACGCGAUACUGAUCGACUCGAAGGCAGGAGAGGGAAGUGGAAUUCCCGGUGUAGUGGUGAAAUGCGUAGAUAUCGGGAGGAACACCAGUGGCGAAGGCGACUUCCUGGCCUGUUCUUGACGCUGAGGCGCGAAAGCUAGGGGAGCAAACGGG
rnacentral:rRNA from 1 species